ACGCGCUUCUCGGCGCUCACUCGGCGGCACCACUGCCGCAAAUGCGGCUUCGUGGUCUGCGCCGAGUGCUCCCGCGAGCGCUU
ensembl:miRNA bta-mir-2901 bta-mir-2901